GCAGUAGCCUAUGCCUAACCCUCAGCUGCUUCAACAACCCGCGCUGGUUUUGUGAAUUUCCGCAGCAAAUCAACCUCUCGAGGAGCGAGAACGAGUCGGAGAAGGUUCUGCGAUGCCUUGUGGACCUUCGAAGCAGAAAAAAGCAAAAUUAGAUGGUGCAACAAAGAAGCCAACCAAGAAAACAGAAGUGGAUGACGACUCGUGGAUG